rnacentral:rRNA from 1 species
AAUAUUGGACAAUGGGGGCAACCCUGAUCCAGCCAUGCCGCGUGUGUGAAGAAGGUCUUCGGAUUGUAAAGCACUUUAAGUUGGGAGGAAGGGCUUUAGGUUAAUACCCUGAAGUUUUGACGUUACCAACAGAAUAAGCACCGGCUAACUCUGUGCCAGCAGCCGCAGUAAUACAGAGGGUGCAAGCGAUAAUCGGAAUUACUUGGCGUAAAGCGGGCGUAGGUGGUUCAGUAAGAUGGGUGUGAAAUCCCCGGGCUUAACCUGGGAACUGCUUUCAUAACUGCUGAGCUAGAGUACGGUAGAGGGUGGUGGAAUUACCUGUGUAGCGGUGAAAUGCGUAGGUAUAAGAAGGAACACCAGUGGCGAAGGCGACUACCUGGACUGAUACUGACACUGAGGUGCGAAAGCGUGGGGAGCAAAC